AGUGAACGCUGGCGGUAGGCCUAACACAUGCAAGUCGAACGGCAGCACAGGAGAGCUUGCUCUCUGGGUGGCGAGUGGCGGGCGGGUGAGGAAUACAUCGGAAUCUACUCUGUCGUGGGGGAUAACGUAGGGAAACUUACGCUAAUACCGCAUACGACCUACGGGUGAAAGCAGGGGACCUUCGGGCCUUGUGCGAUUGAAUGAGCCGAUGUCGGAUUAGCUAGUUGGCGGGGUAAAGGCCCACCAAGGCGACGAUCCGUAGCUGGUCUGAGAGGAUGAUCAGCCACACUGGAACUGAGACACGGUCCAGACUCCUACGGGAGGCAGCAGUGGGGAAUAUUGGACAAUGGGCGCAAGCCUGAUCCAGCCAUACCGCGUGGGUGAAGAAGGCCUUCGGGUUGUAAAGCCCUUUUGUUGGGAAAGAAAUCCAUCUGGUUAAUACCCGGGUGGGAUGACGGUACCCAAAGAGUAAGCACCGGCUAACUUCGUGCCAGCAGCCGCAGUAA
rnacentral:rRNA from 1 species